GGAUGUGAGAACGAUCUGUCUGUGACAUGUCACUGCAUUGAUCGCAAGGGUUGAUUCGGCUGAUCUCGCUGGCUAGGCGGGUGUCCCUUCCUCUCUCACCACUCCAUGUGCGUCCCUCCCAAAGCUGCGUGCUCAGUGGAAUACGACAACCUUCUCGGUAGAGAAGAGGACCGUUCAUUGGUCAAGGGUAUACAAGUAGCGGCGCUCCCUUGAUAGAACCUCCAAACAAUCUCUCAAGGGCCAUUUGUAGAAAGUAUGGUAGUUAAACUUCCAAGACUCCAGAAACAUCCAAAUGAGGUGCUGCGUGUGGCAGACUUU
ensembl:misc_RNA 7SK 7SK RNA